UACGAAGGGGCUAGCGUUGCUCGGAAUCACUGGGCGUAAAGGGUGCGUAGGCGGGUUUUAAGUCAGGGUGAAAUCCUGGAGCUCAACUCCAGAACUGCCUUUGAUACUGGCGAUCUCGAGUCCGGGAGAGGUGAGUGGAACUGCGAGUGUAGAGGUGAAAUUCGUAGAUAUUCGCAAGAACACCAGUGGCGAAGGCGGCUCACUGGCCCGGUACUGACGCUGAGACGCGAAAAGCGUGGGGAGCGAACAGG
rnacentral:rRNA from 1 species